rnacentral:rRNA from 1 species
GGUAGUGUAGUUAACACCUGCAUUAUUUGUACGUUACCUACAGAAGAAGCACCGGCUAACUCCGUGCCAGCAGCCGCGGUAAGUACGGAGGGUGCGAGCGUUAAUACGGAAUUACUGGCGUAAAGCGCAUGCAGGCGGCCUGUUAAGUCAGAUGUGAAAGACCCGGGGCGUUAACCUCGGAAUUGCAUUUGAAACUAGGCAGGCUAGAGUCUUGUAGAGGGGGGUAGGAAUUUCAGGUGUAGCGGUGAAAUAGCGUAGAGAUCUGAAGGAAUACCAGUGGCGAAGGCGGCCCCCCUCGGACAAAGACUGACGCUCAGAUGCGAAAGCGUGGGGAGCAAACAGGAUUAGAUACCCCUGGUAG